rnacentral:rRNA from 1 species
UGCCAGCCGCCGCGGUAAUACGGAGGGUGCAAGCGUUAAUCGGAAUUACUGGGCGUAAAGCGCGCGUAGGCGGUUUGUUAAGUGAGAUGUGAAAGCCCAGGGCUCAACCUUGGAACUGCAUCUCAUACUGGCAGGCUAGAGUACGGUAGAGGGGGGUAGAAUUCCAUGUGUAGCGGUGAAAUGCGUAGAGAUGUGGAGGAAUACCAGUGGCGAAGGCGGCCCCCUGGAUCGAUACUGACGCUAAGGUGCGAAAGCGUGGGGAGCAAACAGGAUUAGAUA